CCUACGGGAGGCAGCAGUGGGGAAUAUUGGACAAUGGGCGAAAGCCUGAUCCAGCCAUGCCGCGUGUGUGAAGAAGGCCUUCGGGUUGUAAAGCACUUUCAGUGGGGAAGAAAGCCUUGGGGCUAAUACCCUCGAGGAAGGACAUCACCCACAGAAGAAGCACCGGCUAACUCCGUGCCAGCAGCCGCGGUAAUACGGAGGGUGCGAGCGUUAAUCGGAAUUACUGGGCGUAAAGCGCGCGUAGGCGGUCUGAUAAGCCGGUUGUGAAAGCCCCGGGCUCAACCUGGGAACGGCAUCCGGAACUGUCAGGCUAGAGUGCAGGAGAGGAAGGUAGAAUUCCCGGUGUAGCGGUGAAAUGCGUAGAGAUCGGGAGGAAUACCAGUGGCGAAGGCGGCCUUCUGGACUGACACUGACGCUGAGGUGCGAAAGCGUGGGUAGCAAACAGGAUUAGAUACCCGGGUGUC
rnacentral:rRNA from 1 species